GCUGGGCAUGGUGGCGCGUGCCUGUAGUCCCAGCUACUCAGGAGGCUGAGGCAGGAGAAUCACUUGAACCCAGGAGACAGAGGUUGCAGUGAGCUGAGAUCACACCACUGCACUCCAGCCUGGGUAACAGAGUGAGACUCCGUCUCAA
rnacentral:SRP_RNA from 2 species